rnacentral:rRNA from 1 species
UUGGUCCUACGGGGCGCAGCAGUGGGGGAUAUUGCACAAUGGGGGGAACCCUGAUGCAGCGACGCCGCGUGGGUGAAGAAGCGCUCCGGCGCGUAAAGCCCUGUCAGCAGGGAAGAAGAAGGACGGUACCUGACCAAGAAGCCCCGGCUAACUACGUGCCAGCAGCCGCGGUAAUACGUAGGGGGCAAGCGUUAUCCGGAUUUACUGGGUGUAAAGGGGGCGCAGACGGCGAUGCAAGCCAGGAGUGAAAGCCCGGGGACCAACCCCGGGACUGCUCUUGGAACUGCGGGGCUGGCGGGAGGGAG